GAUGAACGCUAGCUACAGGCUUAACACAUGCAAGUCGAGGGGAAACGAUAGAGAAAGCUUGCUUUUUCUAGGCGUCGACCGGCGCACGGGUGAGUAACGCGUAUCCAACCUGCCCACCACUUGGGGAUAACCUUGCGAAAGUAAGACUAAUACCCAAUGAUAUCUCUAGAAGACAUCUGAAAGGGAUUAAAGAUUUAUCGGUGAUGGAUGGGGAUGCGUCUGAUUAGCUUGUUGGCGGGGUAACGGCCCACCAAGGCUACGAUCAGUAGGGGUUCUGAGAGGAAGGUCCCCCACAUUGGAACUGAGACACGGUCCAAACUCCUACGGGAGGCAGCAGUGAGGAAUAUUGGUCAAUGGGCGAGAGCCUGAACCAGCCAAGUAGCGUGCAGGAUGACGGCCCUAUGGGUUGUAAAACUGCUUUUAUAAGGGAAUAAAAGUGAGCCCUCGUGAGGCUUUUUUGCAUGUACCUUAUGAAUAAGGACCGGCUAAUUCCGUGCCAGCAGCCG
rnacentral:rRNA from 1 species